UAAAAAAUAUUUUCGGUUAUGUCUUAUAUAUUAUAACUAGAUCAUAACCCGUGCUAUACAGCACGGGCAUUAAUAUUUUUUAUAAAUUAAAUUGUAUACUUUGUUUGAAUUACACAAGAAAUAGUAUAGUAUAAAAAUGAUGUCAUAAUAUUUUUCAAUGUUUGUACUAUUUGCAUAUAAUGCUGCAUUAUAUUGAAUUUG
rnacentral:sRNA from 1 species